UCCCAUAUGGUCUAGUGGUUAGGAUCCCGCGCUCUCACCGCCGUGGCCCGGGUUAGAUUCCCGGUGUGGGAA
rfam:Nematostella vectensis strain CH2 x CH6 NEMVEscaffold_129_Cont14655, whole genome shotgun sequence.